CUAUGAUCUGUGAUAUGAUCAUGGCAAAGGAG
ncrna:unclassified sequences L31-Firmicutes ribosomal protein leader